GCGGGCGGCGGCCGUCUCCUCAAGCUCACUGCGCCCCGAAGUGCCGCGACGGGGACGCAGCUGGGCAGCAUCUGGAUCUGCCACCCGCAGCCAUUCCGGAGCUCAGCCACGCCGGACGCGGGAGGCGAGGCCGGCUGUGGAGCCGCAGCUGUGGUGGGCGGACUCUGUGGGAAAAGCGCAAAGCCCCUCACGCCGCGCUCAUCAGCUUGCUCACCUGAGCGUGCCGUCCCACCUGAGCCCCGCGCUGCAACACCAAGUUCUGGGAAAGGAUUGCGCCUGGCCUUUGCUGUAACCAGAGAGACAGCCCCAGGAAGUUAAGUCUUGAUGAGCAAGUUCCGAACUUGGCCUGAAGAAGCCCCAAAGAAAAAGGGGAAAAAUUCGGCCUUGGAAGUUAAGGUUUACUUGAGGGGAAGCUAAGGUGAUUGUGUUGAGGUCUGCGAGCACAGAGAAGACCAGCCAGGCCCAAGCAGAAGAAACACUCGAGACAAGCAUCCAAAGAAACGAAUUGAAGACAGUGGCCAACUCUUGAGUAUCCUGACUGUAAGAAGGAGCCGUUGGCCUCAGAAGUUCAUAUAAAGAAGAUAGUUAAAUGUGCCAUUGCUGUACUUACUGCAACCAGAGCUGUCCAACCAGAGAAGCAAAUUAAGGUUUAUAUGUGGGACCUCCGUAUAGACCAUUCCAGAACUAAUGGUAGCCUACUCACCCCCAAAGCCAGUCCCACUUAGGAUCACUUAUACUCAUUUAAAUAAUCGGAUUGCCUUGUACAAAUGUUAUAU
rnacentral:lncRNA from 1 species